UUUUAUGGAGAGUUUGAUCCUGGCUCAGGAUGAACGCUGGCGGCGUGCCUAAUACAUGCAAGUCGAGCGAACUGACGAGGAGCUUGCUCCUUUGACGUUAGCGGCGGACGGGUGAGUAACACGUGGGUAACCUACCUAUAAGACUGGAAUAACUCCGGGAAACCGGGGCUAAUGCCGGAUAACAUAUCGAACCGCAUGGUUCGAUAGUGAAAGACGGUCUUGCUGUCACUUAUAGAUGGACCCGCGCCGUAUUAGCUAGUUGGUGAGGUAACGGCUCACCAAGGCAACGAUACGUAGCCGACCUGAGAGGGUGAUCGGCCACACUGGAACUGAGACACGGUCCAGACUCCUACGGGAGGCAGCAGUGGGAAUCUUCCGCAAUGGGCGAAAGCCUGACGGAGCAACG
rnacentral:rRNA from 1 species